rnacentral:misc_RNA from 1 species
ACCAUCUGUUGCUUUGAUUUGUUUCUUUAUUGCUUUGGCUACUGUACAUGUAUAUAUAAAAAUUAAAUUUGUUUAAGGUAUAGUAAAUUUGGUUGGCCUUCUAAAUGUUGUGACUGCACACAAAUUUUUUUUUUUUGGGUUGUCUUCCUUUAUAAAAUAAAAAAAGGGCAGUAGGUUGAGUUUUUAUAUAAAGUCCAGUGAACUUUGGAAUUUUGUUUGGGAUUUAAAUUUGAAUAUUGGUAUUUAUAUGUAUAUUGAGAUGAAUUAAUUGAUCCAACAUGUUGCCAAAGUGACCUCUAUGGAAAUAAAUUAAUUUAUUUGAAAUAUAUAAACAGUUGAGUGUAUGUAAUUUAUGUGAAUAUUGAUUGGACCAAAGGAAAAUCUAUAUUUAGCAUGAUUGCAUAUGCACUUGUGGUAAUAAACACGUGAUAAUUAUUUGUUUUUUGCAUGUGAGUAAUGAAUCAGCCUAAAAGAAGAUUUAUUAUUCGACAUGUUAUCUUAUUGUCAGUGUUUAAUUACUAUAUCAAGAUAUCACUUACAAGUUAAUAUUUUUUCCAAAGAUGAAAUAUUAAUGGAGUGCCCGAUAUCUUGAGAUGGGGUUUGCCAUUAUUUGAAUUUAUUAUUCCAUUUUUUUUGGGUACUUAUGUGAGUUUAUUUGUUUUAUUUGUUUUAUUCUUAAUUCAGUUUCUACUCCUGCUGCUAAUAUCACUGCUAGUAUUAACUCCAUUCCUAUGCUAAAUGGCACGAAUUUUAACGCAUGGCAGGAGAGUGUAAUGAUCACUCUCGGAGUCAUGGAUCUAGACCUUGCAUUAAGGGUUCUCAAACUUACUAAUCUCACUGAUAAGAGUACCUCUAAUGAAAAGAUGGCAGGAGAGACUAAUGAUCACUCUCGGAGUCAUGGAUCUAGACCUUGCAUUAAGGGUUCUCAAACUUACUAAUCUCACUGAUAAGAGUACCUCUAAUGAAAAGAUGGCAGGAGAGAC